rnacentral:lncRNA from 1 species
UUUUUUUUUUUUUUUUGUGGUGACAGUAAUUAGUUAAUCGCCUAAAGAAUAAGAAACCAAAAAUCCUACAGAAAAAAAAAAAAAAAAUCGCAAGAACAAAGUUCACAAUAUAACUCAAAACCCUAGUAAUUGUCAUGUUAAACUUCAAAACUCCCCUGUACCAUGCAAUCAGUUACCUGACAAUCGUAGAUUGAAAACCUCAAACUAAAACCUUAAUUAGAAAAGUGAACAAGCAAGCAUGAAAUGUAUCUUUUAGAAUUCUAAUAGUAUAAUAGGCACUCUUGAGAAACAACAAAUAGGCGGUGAGUUGAGCUCAUGUUCACAUUCAUCUACGAGGAAAGAGGCCAUGAGCCACGAGUAGGGGUGGGAAGAUCGGGUUUCAGUUAGUGUUUUUCGGGUUUCGGCUUGGGUUACAAUCCGUUGGGGUUGGAAAAUUCAAUCCAAUCGGGUUCAAAACCCAAACACUGAAUUCGAUUUUCGGAUAGAAUUGGAUUAAAAAUUCAGGUCUUCAUUUAGAUUGGGGUUACAAUUCGGGUUACAACCUAAAAUUCCAUAUUCAUUUUCAAAUGAAUCAAAUCCCAACCACCUAAAAUUCGAAAUUCAGUUUCAUAUGAAUCAAAUUCUAGCCCAGAUCAACUGCAAAGGUUGUUGCUUGUCGAUGGAAGAAGAUAUUAGAAAGGUAAAUAAAUAAGAGAAACUCAUAACAGUUGUUAUUUUUGACUUAUUAUUGAUGAUGGCUAACACCUUCCCAACAAACCCAUUUCUUUAAGAAUACCACGACACAGAUUAUGGAAUCAAAAGAGUAAACAACCAAAUUACAGUAUUUAAAUAGCCAUCACCAUUGCAGUAUUUAAAUAACCAUCACCCAAAUUACAGUAAACAACCAUGAAUAAUAGCACCCAAAGUCCCAAAUUACACAAAAAAAAAAAAAAUCUUACCUUUUGCGGCUGACGACGGCGAACGAAGACGGAGGCAGUGACUGGCGACGGUAGAGACGACAGUUUCAGCUUUCGGCUGACCAACGAUUGAGGCAGCACCGGCGCAACUGAAAGGAGGUAACAGUGGCUGCAGCGUGGCGUGGGUGGUUGUCAGCUAAGGGUUAGCGGUUGCGCUAGGGAGAGGAAGAUUACGUGUUUUUUAUUAUGCGUUUUAUACCACUUUUGACUUUUGUUUUUUGUUUUUUUUAAACGGCAAACCCGAUCGGGUUUUUUUUUUAUUCGGGUUGAAACCGAACCGAAAAGAAAACUGAUCGGUUCCAAAUUAUUCUCGGGGAAUGAGAAUAGAGUUAGACUAUUAACACUCCUCCAAAAUUCUUUUAAAGCCGCUUUUUCAGUUAUACUAAAUUUAUUACUAAAAUUACUCUUAUUUCUAAAUAAAUAUAUUUAAUUUGUGAAUUUGUAAAUUUUUUAUUUUUUUUGCUCCUCACAAAUAAUUUUUAUCGGUGAUAAACUUCUUGACAAAAAUCAAUGAAUUAAAUAAAUUAUCUCUAAAAUUAUGAUGUAAAAAGUUUUUGUACGAGUCUAAAAAAAGUCAGAUAAUUUUAUCAAAAUGUGUUUUGUUUAUUAUCAAUAGAUUGUUGUAUUAAUUGAAGAAAAAUUUAUAGAGAAUUUAAGAAAAAAAAUUACAUGUGCGAGUGUGAUAGUAGAGAAAAUAUAAGAAUUUUUUUUAAAGAGAAAAAAUAUAAAAAUUUAAAGUGAGAUAAAAUAGACGUGAGAUAUAUUAAAGUGUUUGUCUUGAAAUAUGAUUGUAAUAAAAGAGGGUUUGAAAAGGAUUAUGGAGGGGCGCCAAUAGUCCAACUCAUGAGGAUAUCCCUGGGCUCGUUUUGUUUUAGCCAACCCAAUUAAUAAAAAAUCCAAGCUUCGGCUAAAAACUUGGGCUGGACCAGAAACAGACGUGAGAUAACCAACCCAAGUAAUUACCAGUUCCUUUUAGACCCCGUUUGCUAUAAUAUAUAUAGUUUAUUAAAAUUGGGUAUAAAAUUGGUGUAAAAUAGAUUCAAAUUUAUCUCAAAUUAAGCACUCUGAUAUUAUAAUUAAGAAAAUCCAGAAUAAUAAAAGUGGAGCCUAAAUAUUUGGAUAAGAAAAGAUGAGCUUGCGCUGGGGCCUCAAACUCAAGGAUCAACAUGGCGUCAAUUUCCUAUUGGAAUAGGUCUUUCAAGUUUUAACACCCCUUUAAAUUUUUUAUAAAACCCUUUUUUUCUCUAUCGAAAUGAUUUAAAUAACUAAAAUUAAUUUUUUUUUUCGGGAAAGAAAAAUUCUUCUUUUAACAAAAUUUUUACACCCAUCCUAUUUCAUAAAUUAUAAUUAUAUUUCCAAAUUUUAAUAAAAGAUUAUUUUAUUGAAAAACUUAUAAGAGUUCAAAGUUAUGGAGAUAAAAAUUAUAUAAUAAAAUUAAAAUAAUUUUAAAUUAUAUAUUUUAAAAAAAUUAUAAAAUGAAAACAUAAAAGAAAGAUCCUUUUCUAAGGUAAUAUUUUAUAGCAAAAUGUUAAUUUUAAUCUACAGGUAUAUAUUUUAUCAAUCAAACUAGUGGUAUUUUAGGAAUAAAAUUAUAAAAAUAAAAAUCGUUGUUGUAAGGAUUUUAGUUUUUAGAGUGAUGUAAAAGCUCCACUCUUUCGUAUCACGCAAGUGUCAGUACACAGACAGCCACAGAUUUCAAGCGGACGACGAUAGAUAGGAUAAGGCACAAAAUAAAUACAAGCGAAAAAUGUUAAGAACGAAUAAAUAAAUAUCUUUAGAAAAGGAAAGUGGGUGGAUCUCCCACGAUUCUUGCUGUUAAAUAAUGUUAAAUUCUUGAAUCUGACAUUAGAGAUUCAGGUUGGAUUCCUGCUCCUGGGGGCCCAAUUAUUCUAUGCCACUACAUCAUGAAACUGACAACUACAAUGACUUUCAUUAUCUUUAAUGCGUCAGAAUUGCCGUGCGUGGCAAGUGGCCAAUAGCAGCAUGACAGUGGCCGCUGCCCAAUUGCAAUUAUUUUCAGCGUUUGCAAAUGCCUACGAGGCUGCGAGGUUGAUUCCCCGUGAGCUUGAAAACGAAAACACCCCAGGCUGCGGGCUGCGGCUGCUAAUUAUGACUGCUUUGUGUCUUUUUUUUUUCCUCUUCUCAAUUAUUAUAAAAAACAACAAUCAUCCGAUAAAACAGCAAAUGCAUCUUCCCGGGACCCAGUCCGAAAUUCAGAAUCUUUUGAGAUGAAACUAAAAUUGUUGCGUUGAAGCACGGCUCCUCUUUCACUUCCUCCAAUAAUUCCGCAGUACACGCCACUCAGGCACUGGCGGUAGUGGCGGUUGGUGGGCUCGUCUCACACUCUCAGUGAAAAGUUAGAGGUCACAAGCAGAUUCAUGUUGCGCGCGGAAGGGAAGGGAAGGUUAGCCAGUCGACGCCACAAUAAAUUUGAGUAACCAUUUAUGCUGCACUACACGUAUAUCUAUUUAAAUUCUGAAUAAAUUUUUAAAUUGUAAUAUUUAUAGUAUGGUAAUCGAUCAUAAAAAAAAAAAGAAAAAAGAUAAAAAUCGUACGUAAACUACGCAAUAGUCCGAAAUUGAACAGCACAUGGCUUGUCACUGUGUUUCGAGGCUUAUUAAUAACCUGUACGUGUCCUUACUGGCAAGUGGCAACCUAGGCGUUCGUGUGCGCUGCUUUCGGUGGCCCAAAACCGAAAGAUAGAUGAUGUUGAUUUCUGUGAAAGAGGACUUGAAAUGAAACCAACCAAUGUGGAAAACUUUAUCACGGCAAAUAUUUGGAAUCCACAAUGGUCAAAUCUACUGUUAUCUAUCUAUAUAUAUUUGGACCGAGGGCUACAAGGUGAUUCUCAAGCAAGAUUGAUUUUUUAUUUUUAUUUUUUAUUGAACAGUCUUGAGCUUAAGGCAUGGAUAUUUUUUACAGUCUAAAUAUCACUCGGGUAGGAAACUUAAAAUCUCAAUUAAUAUAAGUAAAUCGUGGGUAUAUAUUAUGGGCAGGUUCAAAUUUGUGAGAGUGAAUUCUAACAAUUGGUGUGAUUUAUGGACAGGUUCAAAAUGGAAACCCUUACUAUUAUCAUAUGAUAGCAUUGAAUAUAAUAAUUCAAUAAAUUUGAAUUAAUUUUAGUGUGUAUUUGGGAUUGAGGUUGAGCAGCUGUAGUUUAAAAAGUUACAGUACUAAAGUAUUUGGUAAACAUUAACUGUUGUAACUUGUAAGCUAUGUUGAUAUAAUUCUUUACUUGUAUAAUAAAAAAUUUAUUAUAUCUUUAAUAAAAUUUUUUAAAUUAUUAUUUAAAUUUUAUAUUUACUAUAUAUUAUUAACUUUUGUUUGAUAGUGACAUCUUUGUUUUCAUAGCAAUUCUAGCUUAAGAGGUACAGUACUUCAAUUCCAAACGGAACCUUAAUGAAUUUGACUAGAUAUUUAACGUCCCUCCUGCUAAAAAAAUUAUUGAAUAAUUCAUCAAUUGGUAAUUUUUUUAUUAAUUCAAUUCAUGAUACUGGUAAAGAAUUUCAAAAUCAAAGGUAAAAAAGGGGGACAAAAGGUGGUUGAAGUGUGCAAGCAGGGAAAGGAUUCCUUAACCAAAUGGGCAUCAUCGCUUGCUGUUUACUGCCGAUUCUGUUUUGUCUUACAUGAAUGAUUUAAAUUGAUUCCAACUGAAUUCUGAUGAAUCGGCAAGGGCCAUAGGCCGUGGCCCAUGGUCGCGUUAUCUUUAUGUGCACGAUUCCAAAAGAUUCCCAUCGAAGUCAUUCUCACAACAAAGAGGCCAAGUUGAAAAAGUAUCUCGCUUGACAUUUAUUCCAAGUUUUGGUUAGAAAAAAAAAUGAGAUGAUAGGACAUACGUGUGUGCUUCACCAUUCGAUAAUUUCAGAUUCGUUUGAUUGAGCGAUUCUUAUCUCUGUUCCCCGGCUUAUACUUUUUUAUAAUUUAAUAAAAGAAAUUAUUAAAAAUAUCACAAAGAGUGUUUUUAUGCUUUAGAAAACUCGAGAGUUAGGUAGAGUAGAUUUCUCCAAAUUUAUUUCUAUGAGAUUUAUGUAAUUUCAAGCCAAUUUAUGGGUUACAUUCAUUAUUAUUGUGCUAAUCACGGCUAAUAUCCGUUUAAUAAUAAGAAUAAUAAAAUUAAUGUCAUAUUCAAGAAAAUCAAAGGACGAAACACUAUAUAUAUAGUUAUUAUCAAAUGUGGAAAAAAAGAGAGAGGUAACACAUUUAUAAAUUAAGUUAUUGAACUCAACAAUGAAUUAUAAAAAAUAAAAUGUCUUAUACUUAAAAAAAAAGAUUGUGUCUUUCAUAUUUUAUUUACAAGGUACAUGAUGAGUCUAUUGUCUACAUGCAUAUUAUAUACGUAAAUUCCGUUCACAGUUCAUCGUAUUCUCAUGAAUUUUAUUUUAUACACUCUUUUAUUAGGAUAAACCCUAACAUACAUUUAAUGUAUGUUACAGCCACUCACACCACUCAUUGUUCAUGUGAAUAGUGUAACAUACGUUAUGUUAAAAGGAUCCUCUUAUUAGUUAUCAAAAGAUUUUCGAAUUUUACAAUAAUAACAAAAAUAAAUAGUCGUUUGCACUAAUUUUGUGUUCCGUGUAAUACGGUCGGGUGUGUUUUCCAGGAAAAUGAAUAAUUUUUAUUUUUUUCUGGGAAAAAGAACAAAGACGUGAUGGGCCGAAACUCUCUUCGUUUGACGGGAUGAAAAGCAGACGAAAGCAGCCAAUACAACAACAUUACCUAACGAUUACCGGGGCGGCUAAGUGACCCCACGUUACAUCGCCCGUUUAUCCAACCUCGAAAGGGACCCAACCGCAGUCAUGCUAAAUUACCCCGGCAUCCCCUGCACUUCACACUUCCACAAUUCACGGCACGAACCUCAUGGAUCUUUCUUUCAUCAAUGCUGACGUACGGCUGAGACGCCUGGUGGCUGGUGCAGCUGACAUCAACUUUUGUUAGAAGAUCGGUUGCAUCUGGACCGUCCAUAAGAAAAUUAUCCUCACUUAGGCUGACGUGUACGUGCCAUCUGCAACCUCACUCGCUUUACACUAUCUAAAAUUCUCAAUUUCUCUAUGCAGAAUUAGAAUAAAGUAACGCUCAAACGUAAAAUCAACGCGACCCCAAACGUUUUGAUGUAUUUCAUUUAAAUUAAGAGUUUGAGCAGUCUGAAAAAUUAAUAUAACAAAAUAAUUUAUUAUCUUUAAUAAGCAGUGAAAUGAGAGUUGGGAUAUUAUAUUUGAGCUCAUAAAGAAUAGCAUAUAAAUCUAAUCAAGAAUCUCAUACGCUAUGUCGACUCAUCUAUUAUUUACAUUAUUUAUUUAAUAUAGUUUUUUGAUAUUUUUAAUAAAUACCCAUUUAACAUGAUUUUAAUAAAUAUUUUAGAAUAUUUAUAAUGCUGCAUAAAGUAUAAUCAACUUAAUUUUAAUUAUAACAAAUAAAAAUUAAAAUAUGAUCAAUAUAAUAUAGUCUUAAGAUUUCUAAUUUCCAAGUAUAAUUAUUGAACAAAUGAUUCUGUCCUAAUCGUUAGUUUUAACUUUUAACCAAAUAAGUUGGUAAUUUUGUAAUAAAUAGGGUAUUGAUUAAGAAUUUUAUAAAUUAUUUUACCCAAUUGAAAUAAAUUAAAACAUUUUUACCCCUUAUUAAUAUUUUCCCGUUUAAAAUAAAAUAACAAAAGAAAAAAUAUAUUGUCAGCAGUGCAUCACUCGGUAUUAUAAAUAACAGAGCUCUUCCUCCCCACAACAACAUUUCCAUAACUAGCUCCAGCAACCAAUCAACCCCCUUCAAAAAACCAUGACGCGCCUUGCCUCCGGCGUGCUAAUCACGCUCCUAGUCGCUCUUGCAGGAAUCGCCGAUGGAAGCAGAGACAUAGCAGGUGACAUUCUGAAGCUACCAUCGGAAGCCUAUAGGUUCUUCCAUAAUGGUGGGGGAGGGGCAAAGGUCAACGAUGAUGAUGAUUCUGUCGGCACGAGAUGGGCCGUCCUGCUUGCCGGAUCUAAUGGCUUCUGGAAUUACAGGCAUCAGGUCUGCUAUCUGAAUUUUAUUUUUUGAAAUCACGUUUUAUUUUAAUAAAUUCCUUGGAAUUACCAAGUUUUAUUCUUUUCGUAAAUAUUAUAAUGAAAGUUUAUUUUAUUUUUGUAAAUUUUUUUCUUUUUCUUUUUUUCAUUUUUUUUUCAGAAAGUGAAGUAAGGUUAAGGUUUUCUUUGAUGCUUGUAUUUAAAAAGCUCGCCAUAAAUUAUGUCUGAAUAUUGAGAAUCUCAUUUUGCGCGUAACUGUUUAAUUUACGUAAGCAGCAAGUAAGCCGAGACAAUCAGACAAAAGAAAGAAUGUGAAAUUCAUUUCAUGUUUUCGGUUUUUUUUUUAAAAAAAACCAAAUUUCCAGUUUGUUUGUGCAACUUAAGCACUAUCUCUUAAAAAAAUUAAUAAUAAUAAUAAUAAUAAUAAACAAACAAACAAACUAUCACAUAGCUUGACAUAUUUCUUAAUUGUAUCAGUCUGGUUAAAGGUUUUCCCCAAUAAAAAAUUUUGGUUAUUUCUUUGAAAAACAUAUAUAUAUAUAUAUAUAUAUAUAUAUUACUUUCAUUUAUUUAUUCAUCAUCUCAAGUGAAACUUUUGUGAUUUGCCUGUGAGUGACAAUUGUUUGUGUACACUGUCAAUGAUUGUAUGAAUCAGAGGCAAGAUUUCUUACUUUAAAUAAGUGGGUAACUGUAUUUGCACCUUUUGUGUAAGCCGCUUGAUGUAAAUAUUGCUGUUAGGGGAUUUGAUUUCCUAUCAAGUCCACUUUUCAUAUAUAUAUAGAGAGAGGGCAUUCUUACUUUGUUAAGGUGAGAAUGCCAGCAAAAGACAAAAAAUAAAAAUAAAAAUUUCAAUAUACUAAUAGAUUGAAAUAUAUGUUUUUUCGUAUUUUAGUGAUAUCUUAUUUUGUUAAAGUGAGGAUGUCCUCAACAAAGAAGGACUCUCUCUCUAUAUAUACAUGCACACAUACAUGCUUUCUAAUUAUGAAUUUCAGCAUAUUAUACUGUCUAUUGAUGUCAUAAUCAUAUUCUGUGUAGAGCUUCAUAAAUCAUUUUUUGUAUUUAUUUUAUUUUAUUUCUAUUUCAGGCUGAUAUUUGUCAUGCUUAUCAACUCUUGAGGAAAGGUGGGCUGAAGGAUGAAAAUAUUAUUGUUUUCAUGUAUGAUGACAUCGCUUUCAAUGAAGAGAACCCAAGGCCUGGAGUCAUCAUUAACCACCCCCAUGGCGAUGAUGUUUACAAAGGAGUUCCAAAGGUCUCUUUCCCUCAAGAGUAAUUCUAGGUUUACAUAAUCCUCUACAAACUCUACUCAUAUAACAUGUUGUGGCAAUUUUUCAAAGAAAUAAAAGCAAAUAAAUAGUGGGGAACAUAUGAUAGUGAUAUAAUAAUGUCACAUCCGUUCGUAUGGGUAGAGUUGUAUAGGAGCUUGUAUUCCUAUUCUCACUAUUGCAUCAAAGAUCAACCAUCUGAAUAUGUGAUAAAGUUCUUUAUUACUACUACUACUAUUAUUUUUUUCAUGGUUUCUUCUUUCAUGUGGCAGGAUUACACGGGGGAAGAUGUUACUGUUGAAAACUUUUUUGCUGUUGUCCUGGGAAAUAAAACAGCUCUUACAGGGGGCAGUGGGAAGGUUGUGGAUAGCGGCCCCAAUGAUCAUAUUUUCAUAUUCUACUCAGAUCAUGGUGGCCCUGGGGUGCUAGGUUAGUAGCCACGAUUCUUCAUAAGUUCCCCACUCUGUCUUAUAUUGUAUGUGUUUUUUUUGUGCUGUUUGAAUAGUGGCUGUAGUUACCCGAAUUAGAUGGUGGUGGUCCUUGGGCUUGGAUUUCUUCCAUCUUAUGGUCAAUUUCUGGUUUUAGUUCAGCGCGUGUCAUAAAACUUGAUUUUGAUUCUGAAGUGAUUUUUAGAAAAUAGACACCAUAGAAUUGGAUUAUCUUUUUUUCUUUUGGCCCAAAUCAAACCGGUUUUGGUGGUAUAUGACUGUCACUAGAAAAACCCUGUUAGAGAACGUCUCACAUGGUUUAAAGAUUCAAAAUUAUUUUCUUUAACCACUAAAGGCAUUUCUUUUAUGGUAAUAUUAUAUUUACUGAGUCGGGAUUCAUAGUUUGUAUCUCAAGUGAUGAAUCACCAAUCAUUAAUGGUCAUGUUUAAGUUUUGGUUGAUUUUAUCAUUUAUCAAUAGGGUGUCAAUCUUGCAACGUCAGAUGCCACAUCACUUGCGGUGCAAGCUAUGUAUAUAAACAAAUUCUUCUAUUAUUAUUAUUAUUAUUAUUUAUUUAUUUUCAUAUUUGUGAUUUUACUGGGAAUAAAAAUUUGAUUGUGUUGUUAUGCUGUUGCAUGUUGUUUGAAGCCUAGGCCAACAUGACUCAUGUAAAAAUUGGUUACUCAGAAGGUUAAAAGUGUAUUGGUUUUACUUGAAAUAUCCUACCUUAUUUUUUCAACAGAGUGGAUAUAUAUGUUAUAACCGACACUAUUUUUAAACUUCUGUUGUAAAAUUGACUUCUUAGUUCACCUGUUUUGUGAUCUAUUUUAGGGAUGCCCACCAGUCGAUACAUAUAUGCUGAUGAACUGAUCGAUGUCUUAAAAAAGAAGCAUGCUUCUGGGAACUACAAAAGCUUGGUAAGUAAUUGGUGAACUGCCAUUUGACAUGUGUUCUAUUUCGAUAAAAGUCUUGGCAAAUUGAAAUUUUUGUUGGUUUCAAUAUCAAAAAAUUUAGGUAUUUUAUCUCGAAGCCUGUGAAUCUGGAAGUAUCUUUGAGGGUCUUCUUCCUGAGGGCUUAAAUAUCUAUGCAACCACAGCUUCAAAUGCUGAAGAGAGCAGUUGGGGGACCUAUUGUCCUGGAGAGAUUCCUGGUCCUCCCCCUGAAUAUAGCACUUGUUUGGGUGACUUGUAUAGUAUUGCUUGGAUGGAGGACAGGUAUGACAACAUUUAUGAUUUUAUUUAUUUCACUUUGGCAACAUUUUUCUGUUUCCUUGAGUAACAACAUGUCUAUGUCUGUCUUCUGUAAUCUCUGAAAAUAGAAGAAAAGUACUGGUUUGACCGAAUUUAUUAACUUACUGAACAAAACUUUUCUAAAAAUUUAUCAUUUUGUGCAGUUUUUUUCCUAGAGAAGCAGUGUGUGCGUGUGCCUUUUUUUUUUUUUUGGGUGAAUUUUAAUAUUUUGACCUUUGCACAGUGACAUACACAACUUGCGGACAGAAACUCUUCACCAGCAGUAUGAACUGGUAAGAUCUCAUUGAGACUUUAUUACUUCAUCGAUGUUCAUUAUACACAGAUAAUGGUUAACUCAGUGCAAAUAAAAUUAGUAACAGUUGGCUUUUUAAGAAUCCUAGAUCCUGCUCUUACCUGCUUGUUUUGAUAACCGCUAAAAUCAGUUUUUUUUUAUUUUCGAAAUUUCAGGUUAAAACAAGGACUGCUAGUUACAAUUCGUAUGGCUCUCAUGUCAUGCAAUAUGGUGAUAUCGGUCUUAGCAAGAACAAUCUCUUCACGUACUUGGGUACAAAUCCUGCAAAUGAUAACUACACUUUUGUGGAUGAGAACUCCUUAAGGCCAGCAUCUAAAGCUGUUAACCAGCGAGAUGCCGAUCUCUUGCAUUUCUGGGACAAGGUAUGUAUCCAACAAUGCACAUAGCUCAUUAAAUUGAAUGCUGCCUCUCUAGCGUAUUUUAUUCAUUUACUUUUUCAAUCCCCAAUGUGGGGAUGGAUCACAAUUCUAUGUUCAACAUGGGUUUGAAAGUUUGUCAUCUCGUUGUUGAGGUUGGUGUAAACUGUAUAAGGGUCUUAUGAUUGGUUAAGUUGGAAUUAGGAAAAGAGGUUAGUGAUGUAACAAAGCAUGGUAGUAGCUUGAUAUUAAGAAUUUUGGAACCAUUUUUAGGUAUGCCAGUUCUCUAUUAUACCCAAAGCAGUAUAAGCAGAGUCCAUUGGCCAUUGGGUACAAAACCCCUAUAGAACAUGUUGUUUCUAUUUGCUUGAGAUGUGGAAGUUUUGGUUACCCUGCUAUGUUACCUGUGGAAAUAACAGUCAGAACGCCCUAAAUAGAUUUUUUUUUUUGGGGGGGGGGGGGGUGAAUUGUAAAAUAGCGACCCUUUCUGCAGUAUGUCUGAAAAUUUUCUCCUUUCUACUUAAGAAUAUACCUCACUUUGCCUAUCCGUUACUUUAAUAGUACCGCAAGGCACCUGAGGGCACUCCUAGGAAGGCUGAAGCUCAGAAGCAGUUUUUUGAAGCAAUGUCUCAUAGAAUGCAUGUAGACCACAGCAUCAAACUUAUUGGAAAGCUCUUAUUUGGAAUUGAGAAAGGUCCAGAGAUCUUGAACACUGUUCGACCUGCUGGUCAGCCUCUUGUUGAUGACUGGGGCUGCCUCAAAUCACUGGUAAAAUUCCUGAUCAUCAAUUCUUGUAUUUUUUAAUCCCUUGACAACACUUAAAAUAUCAUUAACAAGGUUCUUUUCUGUCUAUUCCUCUGUGCAGGUGAGGACUUUUGAGUCGCACUGUGGAGCUCUAUCGCAAUAUGGAAUGAAGCACAUGCGUUCUCUUGCAAACAUCUGUAAUACAGGAAUUGGGAAAGAGAAGAUGGCUGAAGCAUCAGCACAAGCCUGUGAAAAUAUUCCUUCUGGUCCUUGGAGUUCUCUCGACAAAGGAUUCAGUGCAUAAAGAAGCCGAGAACUGUGCGAAUAUCAUAAGCCAGUCUUGAAAUAUGUUAGUUUUCAUUAUAGUCGCCAAUAUGGCAAUAUCUAUUUUCAUUUGGCUGAUGAUUGCUUCCAUUUAUGGCAAUGUCUAUUUUCAUUUGGCUGGUGAUUGCUUCCUUGUAAUUAUUAUAUUUAAAAGCUCUUCCCUGCCAGACCGCAGUUGUAAUUUGAUAGUAUAUAUUUUGGAUGUAUGCGAUGCUAUUUUAUGCUUAUGUAGCUAUAUUUGUUCCUGAUUUGUAGACCGUGCAACUCAACCCUCUUCGUGGUGUUGCUCUAAAUAUUGAAAUAAAAGCUCUAAUUUUGGAUUAAAAAAGAUCGUAUUGUUCAGCAAAUAUGACAUUUUUGUUACCAGGGUAUUAGAACUUCUCACGGUAUUAAAAUAUUGUUAUAUCAUGUUUGUUAAUUACUCAUUUUAUUUUAACAUAGUCAACACACCCUUAAAAUAUAAUCAUAGUAAGUAGCAAGCAAGCAGAACAUAAAAUUUUCAUCAAACAAAUUGUAAAGGAAAAUUACUUUCAACUUUUAAGUCAUGGCUGUAAUUAUUGCCAGACAUUUCAAAAGAGUCUUUUAGACAAAUUUCUCCGCUGCAUUAACCGAUAACGUUGGCUUAGGAUCAAGCGUUUCUUCCUUCAGCUUCGUUUUCCCCUUCGUCUUCUUGAAAAUCAAAAUAACAAUCCUCCACACUUACGUAAACAAAUUUCAAAACCAAAAUUCACACCCCAAUCUUUCUUUUAACGGAAACUCUUCCCCAGAGUUUCUGCCUGUAGGACUUAAAUAUUUUCCUAAUAAAUCCUUGAUAUAAAACAUUAAAAUAAACAGGGGUCGAUCAUCUAGUCAGCGGCAAAAACAAAGUAAUAAUUCAUUCACGGAAAUACAAAAGGUAACUUAUGGUCUUCUAACACUGUGAUAUACCGACUACUACUAUAUAUGUUUUCCAGAACACGAACCGAGCAAAUACAAAUCCAGACCAAAAUUGCAAAUACUCCCAUCCGAAUGCAUAAACCUGUACGAGAGAACCCCGCACAAACACCACCAAUCAUAUCUGCCAAUUCACGUAGCAGGACUUCCCCCUUCCAUAACUUCAGCAAGCUGGUUUAGCUUGGAGAUUUGCCUAUCUUGUCAGCAUUGAUCUAGCAAGCCUGUAAUAACUGAUUUACUGGCAAUCAGAGGGAGCAAGUAGCAUAAUAAAACAAUCAUAGACUUUUGCCUGGCAUUAUUGUAUUAAUCAAUUUCAUCUUUGUUUUCAUAAAAGACGCAUACAAAAUAAAAUUAAAUAACAAUUUAAGUUCAGAUGUGACCAUGAAUCUAUCCUGCCAUCCAUUUUAUUCUUUGUACAAAAGUUAAUCAGUCUAGGUAGGCUGACGAAAAACACCUAGAGAGGCCACACCAUCAUAGUCAUUCAGGCAUGUCUAUGCAAAUCCAAGAUGCUUAGAUGCUAAAAUUCACAAAUACCCAAGCUUUAUGUGUAGUUAGCAUGCCUUUCAAUUAACAGCAUGACAUACAGGUUCCAUUUUCUUUCUCUACAUUACGAAAGCAAUUUCCCAUGCCAUUAUGUAUUGCAAAUUUAUGUGAGAUAAUAAAGGCAACUGGAGACAUCAGCUUAGGUCUGUCUAUACUUAUAAUAACAGACUAUGCUAAUUAUUGGUAUUUACAGGCUUAAACAUACAAAGAUAAAACAACUUGUAAAAUCUCAAUUUACUUUCUAAAAGAAAUUUAAAACCUUUUCGUCAAUAGAAGCAUAAAAAAGUAAGUUCCAACAACAGAAAUAAACUCACCAGCAAUACAGCAGAUAUCAGAUAGCUGCUUCAGUCUCAACGUCUGCCCCGAUCAUCUUCAUGCUUGUACGCAUACCUCCUUCUCUCACUUGACCGAGAAUCAUCAUAUCUAACUCUCUUGGAGUAAUCCGCUUGUUUGUCCAGCUCAUUUCCCUUACUUUCUUGCACUUCUCCCUCCCCUCUCCCAUGCUUUCGACUACGCCUCUCUUCUUCCUCCCCUCUCUCAUGCCUUCGACUACGCCGCUCUUCUUCCUCCCCUCUUCCAAGCCUUCGACUUCCUCGCUCUUCUUCCUCCCCUCUCCCAUGCCUUCGACUUCCUCGCUCUUCUUCCUCCCCUCUUCCAUGCCUUUGACUUUCUCGCUGCAGCUCUUCAUGAUCCUUUCCGUGCCUUCCAUAUUUGUGUUCUUCAGCUCUCCGAUGCCUUCCCCCUCUAGCCUCCUCUUCAUCCAUGUUUUGCCUUCUAAACCCUGCAUGCUCUUUGGAAUCUUCAUCAUCCCCCCUACGACCAUCCUCAUUCCCACGUGGUCUGGCGUUCAAUUCAGACUCCGGUUUUGCAUCUGCAUGAUGGCCUUCGUGCAUUGCAUCCUUCCCAACAAUACUACUCCUUAACCUUGCUUCUGGUCGCUCCUCCCUGUUUGCCUCAUCAUACUUCCUCUUGGCCAUCCUCAUUUCCUGAUGUUCAUAGGUAGACCUUCCCAUAUCUGCAGCAUCUCUUUCAUACUGGUACAGACUUCGCUCCUCUAAUUUCCUCAGUGCGUCUAACAUAUCGUCAUCUUUUCGACCAUUUCUUUCUCUUUUCCUGUCACUUCCAGCAGGACUGUACCCAUGAUCACUUCGUCCACUUCUACCACUCAUACCAUUUCCACUUCCAGUUCUGUUUUCACCCACACGGUUCUUUCCACUUUUCUUACGUCCGUAAUCACUUGCACUGCUGUCUGAAUCUCCGUCACCACUUCCCUUGUCAGACUCACUCCUAUUUCUAUUGCUAUUGUCCAAAGGAGACUCAUUUUCGAUCGCUUCAGGCCUUCCAAGGGAUGCUUUAUAAUUUUUCCUCCCAUAGCUGGAAUCUGAGUUUUCAUUAUCAGAAUUAUGCCUCCUACUUAUCCUGCGCUUCUCAAUUUUAUUGCCACUGUCAUCAUCAGUGUCAUUCCUUCUCGAUCUCCUCUUUAUCACAUCUGCAUCAUCAACAUCAUAGCCUUGCCUGUUUUUCCCAUAACUAUCAUAGUUGCUCUUUUGGUGAGACCUUAAGUCAAAAUUUUCUCGCUCCCCUCUGCGGCUUCCACCCAGCUGAUUGCCCCUUUUCUCAAGAUGACUUUUAUCCUUUUCCAUACCAAUACCAUUAUCGAAAUCAUCCUCAGAAUCAUGACGUACACUUGCUUUCACAUGCCUACUCCCCUUCCGAGUCCUGUGCUUAGAUGAAUCUUCAUCAAAAUCAGAACCAUUAUCCGAAUCAUGUCUCCUAUGACUUUUUCCAUAUUUCUCAACUUCCUUCAUGGAACUAACCUUACCAGUGUCAUCAGAAGAAGAAUAAUCUGAACUAUCAAUAGAAUGUUUUCUGCUUUUCUUGUGCUUCUUCGAAGAGUUCCUCCUUUUCUUAGGGCUUUCACCAUCACUGUCACUGUCACUUUCACUAUCACUUCUCAGGCUAACCUUACGAUUCUUCUUUGGCACCGCUCUUGCAUGCUUACUGCUACCAGCGUCAUCAGAAGAAGAAUUAUCUGAACCAUCACUAGAAUGUUGUCUGCUUUUCUUGUGCUUCUUUGAAGAGUUCCUCCUUUUCUUAGGGCUUUCACUAUCACUGUCACUGUCACUUUCACUCUCACUCCUCUGGCUAACCUUACGAUUCUUCUUGGGCAUCCUUCUUGCAUGCUUACUGCUGCUAUCAGAAUCAGAAGAAUCGUCUCCAUGUCUUCUCUUUCUGCCAUUACCCUUAUGGUGCCUGGUCUCAUCCUUCUUAAUUUUCUCAUCUUUAACAGUCUUUUUCUGAUCAUCCUCCACAAUUUCCCCCUCUUCUAUCACACGUCUCUUCCGAACAUUCUCUCUAUCCAAAAAGGCAUGUUCGCUUUUCUCAUGCCACUUACCGUCAUCAUUGGAAGCAUUCUUUCGACCAUUUCUUGGUGCAACAUCACUUCCUUCAGCCCCUUGUUCACUAGCUUCAAUCGUACCUAUACCAAGUGCAGCUCUAAACAUUUCCAUUUGUUUCUCCUUUCUAGCAGCAAUUUUAUGGGUCUCUGUUUCUGAUACCCUGAACAAGCAAGGAGAAAAUUAGAAGUUAAUUCCUAGGUAACCUAUACAAAAAUUUCCUACUGAGAAGACAUGAUUAAUCAAGUAAAAUAACUCGGGUAACAGAAAUCUCAAGUGUAAAAUAAACCUGAAAAUGGAACAACUAUUACAAAGACGAAGGAAUUUCCAAGAAACAAGAGUAAGGGAAAUUAGAAAAAAAUUAAUUCCCCUUUAAUGAAUCCCAUUCUGAAUUACAUAUAUGCCUCCAGAACAAAGCCAUCAAGGAAGUGAUUCAACAAUCCCCUUGCAGCCGAAAGGAGAGGCAAAAUUGCAGGUUCCCUAAUUAUACAUGCUUCAAACUUCAAACACAAGCAGGACAUACUAAAAACAUACCAAUUGCUUUAUCACACAUAUAAAACAACGCACAAGAAAACUAACCAUUCAUAAUAUUAUAGCAGUGAAAAUAAAUAAAACUGACACGCUUAAAAGUUACACACAUGAAAAAAUGUCUACAAAAAGACAUCUCUACAAACUGAAGUGGUAUGAGUACUUGAACUGUACUUGUUAUUUUUCACUGUUCCAAUCAUAUCAUGUCACCUCAAGAAUGAAAAUUUGUAUGUAUCUUAUUAUUCAUAGCAAGAAUUACUUACUUUGCAUCAGCGGCAGGCCCACCACUUUCCGCUGAAGCUGAGGCGACUUCAAGAGUCUUCCGAGCCUCCUCAAGCUUCUCGGCAAUUUCAGCCUCAGUGUAACCCUGAUCAACGAGUUUGUCUUCGAGCACCACCAAUUUGAGUUGAAUCUGGCGCUUACGCUCAUGCUCGAGGAUCUCCUGGUUCGGUUUUCUGGUGACUCCAGCCGUUCCCUGACCCGCUUCGAAUCCCUUGACGCUGUCGGUAACCCGACCUGUUUUGGCCUUCACAAAAAACUUGUUCGUUUGUAUGUAUCCGUUGGUUCCGGACCCCCUCGGGGUCUGUAAGCCGAUUCCGUUAUACAUCUAACGAAAAUACAAAACAAUUCUCAAUCUUCAGCAAAAAUGAAUUUAUAGAUCUUGAAUUUCAAGAUCCCGAUGCAUGUGAUAUUUCGAUCGGAGAAAAAAAAAAUCUCACAAAUAAAAGCACGAGAAUAGAACAAUUGGAAAGAAAACAAAACGCACCAGUGAUUAAUCGGUUGAUAUGAAACGUGAUAUCUGAUUGAUUUAGUGUUAUCUUCUUUCCCCUUAACUCGGUGAUUCUUCGUUUCGGCAAUUCAGAGAAAGAGCGAAACCCUAACCUGAUCGCUUAGUGCUUGUAGGGACAAUUUGAUUUGACAAUAAUGUCCUCCAUUCGAGGCCAAUGAAAUCUUAGAUAUGAAGGAUGUUUAUGUCUUUGACCUAAACUUUUUGAAUCCGUUUUUAUCUCGAUUAAAUAAAUAUCAUCCCAUUGAUUGAUAUCGACCCUUUUUUUUUUUAAUUAUGUUAUACAGAUAUGAUUAUUGAUAUUAACAUUAUAAUUAUAAUAUUUAUAAUUAUAUUAAACAACUGAGAUCACCACCAUACAUUAAUCUAUUGAAGCAUUUGUUCAAAUACUUUAAACACUCUCUAAUAUUUGAGGGAUGCCUACUCUACUUAUAUUUUGUAAGGGAGAGACUGUCUACACUCAAUUAAUUGAUAAUUAAGAAAAAAAUUGAAAAUAACUUCCAUAAUACUCUUGUGGAGGCUUGAAUCGUUACACUCAAUAUUAUAAGUAUAAGACUUCUCUCAUUGAACCAAAGGCCAUUGGUGAUUGAUACAGACCUUUAGAUAGUACUACAUAGACCUUUUCUUUUAUUUUUUUUCCUUUAUUUUCCCCUUUAAUACAGAUUUACAUAAUCCAUAAAUCGUAAUAUAGAGAGGUCUAAGUAAUCGGAACACCGACAUUACUUUCGUGUCGGUCUUGUUUUGUUUUGUUUUGGCUUGUCUUUUUAUGUGAUUGUUAUCUCAUAAAGUAUUGUUGUUAUGAACAAUUUUAGAGCAAGCUGAUCUUGUGCACGCCCUCGCGUACGUUAUUAUAGUGUGCGAUUGGCUAUUAUGUUAAUGAUGAGUUCUUAUUAGGGGCUUUCGAGCUACAGCUGAGCUUCCUAUAAUGGGAGCUUACCACGCAUGUCAUAACAUGUAUGACAGCGUGUAUUAUAUAAAGUUGUUUGUGUUAGAUAUAUCAGAUGGUAUUUUCAAAGCACUCUGUUUUUUUUUUUUUUAAUACUGAUUAAUCAUCAGAUUACUGCAUUACACAGAUAUUUACAACAACUGCUUAUUGUAGCAGAGAUAUUACACUGAUAUUUACAAUCAGAUAUACAUGAUUGGGACUUACAUUAUUACAAUGAAUUCUAUGAAGUACAUGCCCAGACAAAUAACCCCUCACAGGAGAGGGAUGUCCAUACUCCACUUGCAUUUUGCAAGGGAGAAGGAUUUUUUAAAUAUAAAGAACAUUUAGCCCCCACAAAAGCUUUGUAGGGGCUAGAACCGCUGCCCUCACAAGUAUUGUGUUGUGAGGGCAGCAGCCCACCACUUCGGCCAAGGCCGAAGCGGCGCACUCUGUUAAAAUAGUUGAGUGGUAAACUGCAACUCUCACAAGUUACCAUUGUGAGAGCUGCGAUUUAAGUUCUUAUAGCAGAUUUCUAUUUCUUCUUCUAAUUAAAAAUUGGGUUUAAAAAUUGGGUAUAUAUUAGAAUCUCUCCUGUUAAUUAAAUGCAGAACAGAUGUCUAAGAGCUGUAAUUUAAGUCACCAGAAAAGACUUCUAUUCCCAAUUAAAAAUUGAGUAAAAAUAAGUUUCUAUUCUAUUAAAUGGUGAGUAUUGAGUAGAGCAGAUGGGAAAUUUGUAACCUACCCCCAAAUAAAUUGACAUUUUGCACCACGCCCCCAAUUCCAUUAUUUUAUCAGUUAAGUUUAACGGUGGAGGGGUAAAAUUGAAAGUUUAUUUCUUAAAUUAAUUUUAAUGGGAAUUCUCUUUAUUGUAAUUAAAAUAAAAAUCUUUAAAAAAUUAAAGAAAAAAUAAUAGUGGUGACAAUGAACAUGUAAGAAGAAUUGUUUUUUUUAUUGCAAUUGAAAAAAAAACCUUAAAAAAUUAAAUGAGCUAAAAAUUUUGUUUUUUUACAUAGAGGGGCAUUUUUGUCAUUCAAUCAAAAGUUAAACGGAGCCGUUAAACUUAACUAAGAAAAUAACGGAAUUGGGGGCGUGGUGCAAAAAUGUCAAUUUUUUUGGGUGCGCAGUGCAACAAGUCAAAUUUGUUGGGGACGCGGUGCAAAAUGUCAAUUUAUUUGGGGGUAGGUUACAAAUUUUCCUAGAGCAGAUAUUCAAUAUAUGAUGUAAAUAUUAGUACGUAUUAAUAAUUUUAGAGAAAAUGUUAUUUUUAAGUUUAAUAAAUAAAAAAACAUGCGCGAUACAUGGUGUUAUUGAUUAAGCAAAUGAUCACUUAGGCUUUAGGAAUAAAAUUUGAUGCUUUGAACUUUCAAAAUCUCAACUUUGUUCAUUACAUAUGACUUUUUAUCAUUCAUGAGCUUGUAGAGGUAUUAUAAACAAUUAUAAUAAGUAAUAAGCUUACAUGGGGGCAAUAUAAAGUUUGCAUUCAAAUUGAUGAUGUGGUAGAUGAUAUGAUUUUAUUUCGUGAGGUCAUUUGAUAAUGGAUUAUUAACUCGGAGUUUGGCAGUUUUCUGCUUAUUUAAAUCAAUAUAUAUAACUUGUUUUCAACUAUAUGUAUAGUAUUCAAAGAUAUGUGAGCACAAACAUUUAAGCGAAAAUAGAUAUAAAUGAGUUAUUUAUUUGAUAUUUUAUCUUAAAAUAUUAAAUAAUGGUUAUUAGAAUUUUUUUUUCAAAAUUAACAAAAAGUAUAAAAAAAUAUCUUAUUAUUAAUUUUUUAUUCAUACUGAAACUUAUAUUUGUUAUUUUUAGUAUUUAAAUCUUUUAUUCUAUUUUCAAUUUAUAUGAUUUAUUCAGUUUAUAGUUAAAUCAAUAAAGUGUACUUGAAAAUAAGGAUUAUAUUGUAAAAUUAUGGUACCAGUGAGUCAUUAGGUAUUAUGAAAAUAAUAGGGAGUAAGUGAUAGAUAUUGAUUUCAGUGUAAGAAAAUUGACAAUUUUCCUUAUUAAUUCUUAUCAAUUAUUAUCUGAAUAGUGAAUUUGUAUUUACUAUCAUAUUAAUUCAAAAUCAAAUUUUAUAUUCUAACUUUAUAAAUAUAUUUAUAUUUUUACCCUUUAAAAUUGUUUUGAACGCUCAUUAAAAAAAAUUAUUGCCUAAUUGGCUUUCAAGGAAAUUACUUAGAUGGCCAUAACAAAUGAAUGAACAAUCUCUUUAUUUUCCGUCAAGUGGUCAGCUCUUGUACAUACUGCAUGGACUUGAGAAGGUGACAAAUUGACCACACACCGACAUUAUUUUAGGCAUUGUUGCAUAGGCCACGUCAAAGCCGUUGAAUUUGAAGCGCACAAAUCCAAAGGCCCAAAAAUAGCCACGUGAUGCUAGUUAAUGGAGAAAGUGACAGAAUCGACCGUAAAUAAAAGAGCAAAUUGGCAAAGGAAACACCGUGAGGUUAAGAGAGACAGCCAGAACAGUUGAGGAAACUACUUCUGCAGUACUGUAAGCGGAAAAAAAAGAAAAAAAAAAAGACGUACGAAUCAAGCAUUUUAUCUAUUGAUAUCGCAGAGCCUUGCAACAAACGUUGCAGAAAUUGGAUUAAUAAAAAUCAAACUUUAAGAUCUAUGAUCCUAUGCUCCAAUAAUAAUAAUAAUAAGGGUUAUUAUUAUUUUAUUACUUUAAAAAUUAUCAAAUAUCAAAUAACUACAACAAAUAUUAUUUCCUAUUAUUUUCUUACUAUAUCUUUAUAAAAAUAGCAUUUUACUACUUUUCUGUUAUAAUCUUGACAAACAAAAUACUAAUUUCACUCUUCAUGAUUAAAAAAAAAAUACUUAAAGCUUAUUUACAAAAUAAAUUUGUAAUAUAUUUAUUAAAAUGGAUAUAAAACACCAACAUAAUUAUUUUAACUGGAAUUAUGAUAUAUGGAUUAAAAAUUUAUCUUAUUAUUUUUUUAAUCAUGAAGGGUAAAAUUGAUAUUUUAUUAGUCAACUAACGGGUCAACUAACGGUUGUAAUGAAAAAGUAGUAAAAUGAUAUUUUUAUAAAAAUAUAAUAGGAAGAUGAUAGAAGACAACACUUGUUGUAGUCAUUUGAUAUUUGGUAAUUUUUGAAACAGUGAAAUGAUAAUAACUCUAAUAAUAAUAAUAAAGAUAUAUGAUUGACCGACUAAGACCGUAACCCCCUUCAAUAAUGUAUUUACUCUUUUCAUCCAUGCUCGUUAAAUUAGAUUGUUUCAAAUCUAACGGCUCAUCCAAAAAUGAAAAAAAAAUACAAGUUAAAUACAAGGUGUUUUUUUUCCCCCAAAUAGAUUCUCAUUAUUGCAAGACAAAAUUUCAAAAUAAACAAGUUAAAUGUUGUAGAAAAUCUUCACCUGUAUAAGAUAAUAAUAAUACCUAAAUGUGAUUUUUAACCAAAGCAUCAACUGCUCUAUUAUAAUUUUUAGAAACAUGGUCAAUCUUGAAAUCUUACUAAAUUAACAGUAGAUACUUCUUAUAAUUAUUCAAAAUAGCUUAAUACAAAUACAAUGAAUACGAGGUUAUUUGUCCUUGUUACUAGAUAGUGAAGCCUUUGAUGCAUAAUAAAAUGUUAAAAAAUAUGAAUUAACAUAAUAAGAUCAAAGACAAGAACUAUAUAUGCAUUUGUACUAUUAAACAAUUUUAUUUGCUAAAGUUUGUGUACUUGUUAAGACCUUGAAGGAUUUUAUAAAAAUAUUUAAUUGGAAAAUGUAUGUUUCCCUUUCACUUUUUGAGGAAAACAAUUUUUUUUUCUUUUUUAAUUGAAGGAAAGAAAAAUCAAGUCUAAACGCAGUAUUACACUCUUUAGAAACAUACAUUUUCCAAUUAGAAACAUACUCUUUAGAAACAUGGCCAAUCUUGAAAUCUUGCUUCAAUAACAGUAGAUGCUUCUCAUAACUAUCCAGAAUAGCUCAGUACAAAUACUAUGAAUAUAAGGUUAUUUGCCCUUUAUAUUAGAUAGUCGGGCCGUUGCUGCAUAAUAAAGUGUUAAAAUAUAAAUUAACAUAAUAAGAUCAAAGACAAGAAGUAUAUUUGCAUUUGUAACAUUAAACAAUUUUAUGUAGUUAUUUAUUUUUUAACUUCGAUCUUAUACGCAAUUAAUUUGCAAAGUUUGUGUAUUUGUUAAGGGAUUUUAUAAAAAAAUGUCUCGUUGAAAGAUGCAUGCACCCCUUUCAAUUUUUGAGGAAAACAAUUUUUUUUUAAUUGAAGGAAAUUUUUUUUAAUACAAUAAAAGUCCAAACAUAUUAUACUCUCACAACUACAUGAGAAUACUCAAACUCUCCACUUUAAUAUUAAGGAGAAGAGUGAUUGACCAAUAUUACCAAGGGAUCAUUACCAAUAAAAUAAAAAAUUACAGACCCUAAAAUGUAACUUUAAAGAAUAAUAAUAGAGUUAUAAAUUCUUAUAUAAGUAAUUUUUAUACAAAUUGAUAUGGUAUAAUAUCAUUGGUUGAGUAAAUAUAUAAUAUAAUAAAGAUAAAUCAUGUGGACAAUGUGUUGGUUUCAUUCAACCAACUAUGUUACAAAAUUAAUAUAAAAAUUUAUAGAUGUAUCAUUACUCUAUUUUAAGCGAACACAUUAAAAAAUCAAAAGCAACUUUGAGAUCAUAUCACUAAAAUGGUCCGAUUAAUAAAAAUGUAUAUACCACCAAAAAUGACCAUUAAAAAUUAAAGCAACUAUAUUACCUAUAAAAAUGACAAAAUUAUUAUAAAUGACCACCGUGAAUAAUGACUGCGUCAUUAAAAAUAAAAUAAGUUAAGAGAACAUUAGAACACGUGCAGGUCAUUUUAUUAUUGUUGUUUAAAUGUUAUUUAUCGCGAUAAAAUACCAAAAUUGCCCUUAUACCUAUCGCUAGAUUCACAGGUCUGGUUAAAAUUAAACCAUGGUUAGUUCACUCACGUGAUUAACUAACCCUACUGUUACUGCGAUGCUCUAAUAAUGAGCGCCCCCACACCGGCUUGAAAAAAAAAAAUUCAACAAUAAACUAAUAAUAAAAACAUAACCGUGGUUUGAUCAGUCACGUGAUUAACUAACCUUAUUGAAUGUAACUCAAUACUCUCUAAUAAUAAGCGCCACCACACCGGCGUUAAAAACAAAAAAAAUUGCAACAAUAAAAUAAUAGAAAACAUAUCAGAAUAAAUAAUGAUAUAAUUCAACAAAAAUUCAACGUCGUUAAAGAUUCCGUUAGAUUGAUGAAGUCCGUGAGGUGAUAAAAAUUUGCCACGGGCGCAUGCUAACUUGAUGAUAGACGGGUGUCGACGGUUCAAAGGAGGAGUAAUCAGGACCGUUUGAUUGAUGAUUGAUGGUCACGAAUGCUCGGUGUGGAACCGAGAGUAUGAAAGAGGGGUAUAAAACUGGUUUUAAAAGGGAGAGAGAAUUUCGUUUAUCAGAAGAAGGAAGGAGAGCACUUUGUGUUGUUUGUUCUCUCUCUGGUUUCUCUGCGAAUUUUCAUUCACUUUCUUUCGUUUUCUCAGAAGCCAAACAGACUACUUUGGCUGAGAAUUGACGAGAAUAUGAUAACGGAAUGUUGAGAAUCUGAAUCCAAUAGAGAGAUAGAGGAGAUUUAGAGGUGUGUAUUACCAACACACUUUUGUUUUUCAUUAUUAAGAAGAUCAAUUUAAAAAAAUUGGCCGGUAUAAUUGUUGUUUGGUUCAUGCUUUAGUUUACAGACAAAUUCAAAAUGACAAAAGACGACAUGGUUCAGUUGGCUUAGUGUUAAUUCCGUAUAAUUCAUCCUCUGAUAUAAUCAUUUUAUUUGUUUUGCAGAUACAUUUCUUAAGAGAAUAGAGAAAUUUCUGUAAGGGGAAGAUCAUAAUCUCUCAUUAGAGCAGGAGAUUUUCAAGUCUUUGAAAUGCCAAUCAUUUCGCUGAGAAGCUGAUAUACAUUCGAUUUGUAUUCUGCCGACUGAAAGAAGCAAAAAAUCGGCGAAUUUGAGAUAUUGGAGGUAUAAAAAACAAGCAUAUCGAUUUUCAUCUCGUCGAUUUAACUCGGGACCGGUUCUCUUUCAUUUCAGUUUUGAAUCGGUUUCCACUUGCUUCUUAUUACGAAGCUUAUACUUAAGUUCGACUCCGAUUCUCGUUUUUUCAGCUGUUUGGCUCUGGCGAGAAUUCAUCAUUAGCGUCUACAAGAAAUUUCAGUUCCAUGAAAAUCUUGACUUGUUAUUGAUGAAAUAUUUUUUUCGUUUUGAUUUUUGUUCUUUUGACCAUCUCUCAGUCUCGUCUUAUUCGAGCUUUAAAAUUUUUGUCAGUCUCGUCUUAUUUUGAGUUUUAGCUGUGGUUGCUUCUCAGAUUUUUCUCAAAUUACCUACGUUUGGUUACUGAGAAAGAAAGCAGAGAGAAAAAUAACAUCUCAGAACUUCUUUCCAUUCUCGAAUUGAUCUCUAGAACCAACGAAUUGGUUCUGAUUGUUGCAAUUCACGAUCCUUCUUUAUUUUCUUUUUCGAACAUUUUCUCGGCAGCCGAGCAAAAGCAUGGAGCUUGAGAAAUUUUUUCUCCGCUUUCUAUGCGUAUUCUUCGUCAGAUCCUCUGGAGUGAGUACGUCUGUGAUCUAUUUUUGAAUUAAAAUUCUCAUUUUCACUGCUGAUGACUAUUACAGCAUCACUCGGUAGAGAAUUCUGCAUUUUUUCAUUUUGAAAAAUCCUUGGCUGUCGGAUCUUCCUCUUCCAGUCUUCGGUCUUCCUCAGUAUUCAAUAUUUUUGUUGCAUUUUAAUAUAUGUGAUUCUUAUGGUAAGCCUACUUUUCUUCUCAAAAUUUGGGAAAAUUCUUAGCCGUUACUCUAAAAUUUUAAUUUUAAUCAUUCGUUUUAAAUGGCGUGGAAGUUGCCGGAAAGCCGAAGCCGUAUCCAAAUUGUUCAUUUUGUUUUUCUUUUUUAGUAUAAUUCUGCAAGUUAACCGUAAUUUAGGAUGAGUAAUUGUAAUUAACUUAUCUGAAUGGGACAGGUUUGCGAAAGGAGAUGGAUAAGGACUUGUUGAGAAGCGGUAAUAAUGGGAGCACUUGCAAAGAUGGGGGAUUAUUAAGAGCUAGCUCAGAGAUCAACACUAGGCAAACGGCGUCGUCUGAUUUCGUCUUACAGUGGGGGAACAGGAAGCGACUCCGGUGCAUGAAAGUUCAAGUCAAAGACGAUUCGUCCGCUUCGGCCCAUCGGACGACGGUUCGAGUCGUAAGAACCGACAAAGACACGUCCAAUCAGCCGAGUACUGCCACCGCUAACCAUAAUAUUGGUAACGGUUAUUUUAAUCUCCGUCGACGGCCAUCUUCGCCUCCGCCACCGCCACCGCCACCUCAGCGUGUGCUCAGGUAAUAACUCGGUAUCAUCGUUUGUUUGAUUUUAUGUUUGAAUAAAAACAGAGAUUUGUAUGCUUAUUCUUACGGCGCGUAUUAAACACUGUCGGCUGAGAUGGUGGAUCUUGUUUUUAGCUGUGGGGUUGUUCGCACUGAGGGCCUGAGCCUGAACCUUCGCUGGUGUUUGCGAGGCAACUGUAGUGUUGUGUGUAUGACGUUUAGAUAAUUGAAUGGGUUGCGCGUGGGCCCGUGACGCGCUUUGUGUCCGUGUUCGCAGUUUAGUGUUAGCUCCUUUAUUGUUCGAUUUCUAUAAUCCACAUUGGCGCGGAAAAAGAUUUCGAUCUGCUCUCUUUGAUGGGUCCCUUUUUACCCUUUAUCUUUAAUUAAUGGUUUUCUGCCGCAAGAAAUAUGUUUUACCGUGGUGAAUUAUAUUUUCUUCUUCAAUUGAAUUGGUGUUUAUGUUAAAUUAAUGUUGAAGAAAGAUAGUUGCCCUUUUCAGUAAUAGCAUGAAUUUGGAUCACCUUUAGUCAUUAGUCGCUGUUGGUACACGGUCACUGUCGACAUAAUUAGUUUGUGUAAUAUCAGUAAGCCCGGAGUCAUUCUGCAUUUCUGCUGAUAUUAUUAUUAUAUUUUAAAUUCCAAUUGCAGCCUUUAUGCUUGUUUUAUAAAAUUGGAAAUAAUUAGUUCAUAGUCUGGGAUAGUAUGUCCCUUGGUAUUGUACUAUGGUUUGAUACAUUUGUCUAUUUCUGGUAGUGGAGUGGACUGUUCCAGGAAUAGAUAAUAUCAUAUGAAUACUAAGCUGGCGUCUGAAUCUUGAUGCCUAAUAACAUUUCAGCAUCAAAUUAUUUUGCUUUUGCUGAAGUGGAGGUUAGUUGGAUCUACUUGUUCAUUACAAGAUGAACUUUUAAACUUCCAAAAUUGGGGCUGAGUACUUACUUAUGAGGCUUAUACUUGUCCAUUCACUAAUUGGUCAGGUUGGUGCAAAUCAGAACUCAGGAGAGCUGAUGCCUGAUGGUGAGUUCAUAAGGUCAGGGUGUCCUUAUAUUUACUAUUGCUUUAGUUUCUAGGAUUUGAGUCUUGCUAAAGUGGGUUGCCCAUGUCAUUUCACGAUCCUUAGAAUCUAAUAGUCGCGUUUGAAGUGUGUGAUCUAUAGAUAAUGCACUUGAGAUUUGGGGAUAGUUUCACUUAUUUAUAAAUUUGAUUAGUUUCUAGACUUUAGCAUAUAAUUGGUGAAGUUUUAGAUGGUGCAUUCUCCCAAUAUUACAUUUACUGAUUUACAUUCUUAAUUGGGAAAUUGGCUGUAAUCUUUGCUUUGUUAUUUGACUGAUCUGCGGCUGCUAAUUGUAGUUUUAUAUGGGGUUAUAUUUUUAUUGUUCUCGUUAUAAAUUGACAUUCUUUAGAACGUUUUUUUAUUUUUUAAAAUCUCAAAUUGCUUCUUUUGCAGAAGAUAAAAAUAAACUGAUCAACUCACAUUUUUCCUUUAUUUUUUGAAUAAAAAUGAGGGUAAUUUGAGAUUUUGAAAAGUGAUGAUUUGAAGAUAGUUAAGUCUCACAAUUUAUGUUUUAUUCUUUUCUUUUUCUAUAUUGCAAUCUUAUUGGACUGAUUUUGUUCAAAGUUGUGCAAAAGAAGAUUAGGUUGAUUAGCAUUCCUAAUCAAACUACUCUUCUUACUCAAUUGUGCUACUCUUGACCUUUUGCAUUUGCCUAGAGGGUAGCCAACUUGUCUUGAGUUCAUCACGCCUGAUUUUAGCCCAUAACGCUGCCAAAGCGUCCUCACAUGGUGGACUCGUUGGAACUUGGAACUAGGAAACAUGGAAUUAGUAAGUUCCUGCCACGCGUCCAAUGAUGCCCAAGUCUAAUCUCAACAAAAUUUCCGCCGUCGAUUGUAAUUGUAUUAGGAAUCUGGUCCACUCUAUCCUACAUGCCAACCCAUCCAUCAACACGUAGCCCAUACCUUAGAAAAGGAAAAUGAAUCCAACGGCCUACAAACCGCCCAUAGGACCAGCUGUGCUCGUUAGAUCGAGAUUAGAAUCAAAACUAUUUUUCUCAUGGCAGCCAAGUUAGCAAAUAUCAACACUUCCUAUUUGUUUAAAAAGCGCAAUCCAAAGUCUCUCCAAAGAAGCCAAAAGAAAAAAAGAACUCACCGUAUAUGACUUUCUUCUCAAAUUUAGCCCGACUUUACUUGAUCACUCCCAAGGUUAUUUUCGUACUUGCAUAAAAAUUCACUUCAGCACAUCACUUUUUUCACUUUUUCCUUAACACUCUACUUGACUGUAUUAAAUUUCAUUUUUAUUUCACAUGUUAUGUCCAGUUAAUUGAUGUGUUGUUAUGUGUGUAUUGUUUGUUAGGAAUUCUGAGAAUUCAAGUGCCAUGAGAGGCCAAAGCAACGGUGGUGUGAGAGGUUUUGCUUCACCAGAUAGGGGUGCGCACGAUAAGAGAGGUACCCGUCACAACAAUCACAACCACCACAACAAUGAUUAUAACAAAUCAGGGGCAUCAUCGGAAACAGCUCAUGAUAGCAAGAAAGGUGGAUCCUCUUCCGCUAGUGGCGAGGCGGCGCCACCCGUGUGGCCCCCGAAAUUUGUGAUUGCUUUAACCAACAAAGAGAAAGAGGAAGAUUUCAUGGCCAUUAAAGGGUCUAAGCUGCCACAGAGACCCAAAAAGAGAGCAAAGUUUAUUCAACGCACAGUCAAUGUAAGCUUUUCUUAUUCUUUCCUUGUUUAAUCCUUCAUGAUAUCUAGACUUAUCUACGAUGUUGUUUUAGUUAUUUUAGAAUUUAGAUUUAACGAAUUUGAUUCUAGUUGCAAUUUAAUUAUCGUGAAUAAUCAUCUGUAGGAAUAUUUUAUUGGGGUACAACAUUUAGGAGCACAAGGUACAAUAGAUCUCUUGCGGCCUUUUGAUGAUAUUUUGGGAUGGGACACGGUUUUUAAGAAUGUAGCUGUUACUACAAAUAUGGUUGCUGGGUCGGACCCUGAUUUAUGUGAAACUAUGAUCUACUUUAUUAUUAUUUUUUUAUUAGUCUUCAAUUUUUGUUUUCGCUUAAAAAUAGGGCUGUGUGUAAAGUGACCAGUGAGAUAUACAUGUCCACGUGUCGGUAAAGGCGUGGACGUGUACCUAAAAAUGACCUGUAGUAACGUUAGCCUCCCAGUGACCGAGUCCUGGUUUGGGUGCGGGAUGUAGAAUAAAUUAACAAAAAUCUGGGGUGGGAAUAUUACCCUUGCCCGAGUUUUGUGCUUUGAUAAUCAAAUUUCUCUUGAUUUAGUCGGAAAAUUCCAUUAAAGUAAUGGUACAUAUUUUAAAUCUUUUGUUUUUAAAAAUUAUUCUAAAUAAUGUGGCAUUCCGUAAUGCAGUAAUUCAUACUUUACUUCGUGGGGGAGAUAAUUGAAUAACAAGAGACAAUUGAGUUGUCAUUAAGUUUUUUCUGUUUUUGAUUUUUUUUAUGUUUAUGUUCCAAUUUAUCAAAAUCAAAUAUUCUUACGACCAAUAAGAGUUACUUAAGUCAAGAUUUUACCGUAAGAGAUUAUCACGGUAAUACCGCAAUUUUGAAUUUAUUUUACUUUUCUUGGCUACGGGGAGUUCUUUUUUUUUUUUUUUAAAGAAAGCGUUGAAAAUGUUGGAUAUGUGGAAAUGAGUAAUAAUAGAGUUAUAAUUACCUUCUAUAAGUAAGUGUAUAUAAAUCGAAGUGACGUGACGGAAUUAGUUAUAUAAAAUUAUUAUGGGUUUAUAUAAUUAAAAAUUAAUUAUUAUUAUUAUUAUUUUUAGCUAAUUUUUAUCCGUCAUUAAUUUGUAUAAAUUAUAAAAUCAUUCGUGGGUUUAUCAUUUUACAAGAAUAUGAGGGGGUAACAGAAGGAUAAUUUUUAAAAACGUUUGAGCUUGUUGCAAGUAGAUGGCGAGAAUUAGUUUAUUUGUAAAAAAUCUCCUACCGUCAAUUAAUUUUAAUAUUGACCGUUAGUUGACUGUGCAAAGACAAUAUUAUCCUUAACAAUAGUUUGUAGACGGAAAUAACUAAAAAAAAAUUAAAAUUAUUGGUUAUUUUACACUCUUUAAAUUAUUGAUAUUUUUUUAAAGUUUCUACAAAAAAGAUAAAAUUAAAAACUUGAAAAAUUUUCUUUAAAUUAUUGAUAUUUUCUUAAAGUUCCUACAAGAAAGAUAAAAUUAAAAACUUGAAAAUGAAAUAGUCAUAAUCUUUACUUAUGAUAUUAUAAAUCUUUGGAAUUGACAAGGAUAAUAUUGUUAAAAAUAGGGUUUGUGCUUUUCGCGCCAAUAAUUUUAAUUUUUUUUUUAGUUAUGUCAGUCUAAAAACUAUUGUUAAGGGUAAUAUUAUCUUUGUACAGUCAACUAACGGUCAAUGUUAAAAUUAACUGACAGUAGGAGAUUUUUUACAAAUAAAUGAAUUUUUGUCAUCUACUUACAACAAAUUUAAACCUCAAGGAAAGUUUUUAAAAAUUAUCCGGUAACAGAAUGCCUUAAACGUGGUACGUGGGGUCAACAAGGACGUGGUAGUACAGAGCUGGAAACUGUAUUUUUCUCUUGGUUUUAACUUUUAAACAUUAUGAGUGUCUCAGAUUGAGAUGGAGGGAUCAAUCUGCAACACGUGUACGAUGGCGAUUCAAUAGACAACACAAACUUAUCAACGAAGUAAGGUCCAAAUACUCACCAAAGGUAAUAAUAUUCUUCGUAAAAGUUUAACCGACGGAAGCGGAUGGGCCCUUUGCCCAUUAUUGUGGGGCAUUUCCGUAAUAUGGACAUUGCUUUUUGGUGAAUUAACUUUUCUUGUCUCUAAUAGUUUUUAAUGAUUAAUUUUCUCUUUAUUGAAAUAAUAUUUAAGAAUAAUUUAUAAUAAACAAUGGAGGUGGUUUCGUGACUCUUGUAGUGGUCCUCCAGGCUGGACCACACUGACAGUGCGUGGAGAGCAAAGAUUGCACGUAGUUUUUCGUCCAUAACUUUCUUAAACGCACGACUUGUAGACGAUUCUUUUUGCAAGUAGUUUUUUUCUUUUUGAGGUUGCAAGUAUCUUCUUGCUUAUGGUGGAAUUAUUUUUUUUUACAAAUUAAUUGAAAUCAUAACUGUUUUAAAAAAGCACAGGAAUCUCUCUUUAUUGCAUCCCAAUCAAAAUCAAAAUCUGAAAUUAAAGGCCAAAGUUGCAUUGAGUUUAUGUUUUUCUUUGCAGCUGGUAAGUCCCGGUGCAUGGCUAUGUGACCUGACCCUUGAACGUUAUGAAGUUAGAGAGAAGAAAAUCUCCAAGAAGGUACUUUUUGUAUUACAACUCCCCAAUUGGAGAAGCAUUUACAUUAAAAAUUAAUGGAGCAUAAUGUUUGUAUCGGGGAUCUAAUCUGAUGCAGAGACCGAGAGGAUUGAAGGCUAUGGGUAACAUGGACUCAGACUCAGAGUAGAGGAAGAGGAAGAUGAAUAGCUGUUGAUAGCUGUUGUUUUUUGUUUGUUGAGAAUAUGACAAAAUGUUGCUACCCUGUAAAUCGUUACCUUUCGUCCCUCCCUCUGAGAUGAAUGAAAGGAUAAAAUUUUAGCCAUAUCUUCUCUCUUCUCUCUUCUCUCUUUCUCUCUUCUCUCUUCUCUCUCUCGGUUAUUUUAUUAUUAUUAUUAUUAUAGAGGCAUCAGGCAUCAACACCUGUUUUUGUUUUGCUUAUAUUUUUCUUUUGUUUCAGCUUUAUUUAGGUGCUGGUUGACUGAGCUGGUCACGCUUUAGGCCCAGUAGUGGGCUACGUCCAUUUUGCUGGUUAACAAGUUAAAAGCUACUUUACCAACUUGGUAUAACCUGUCUAAAGUGGGAGUGACGAAUGUGCCACUAGCUUUGCUUAUAGACAAAGCAAGGCUAUUUUCGCACAUUACAAGAUGGUUGAGCUGAAGUUCAUGAAUAAGCUCAUUGGCUACUGGACAAAUAUGGAGUACUAAUAUAAAUUAUUUCUGCACAUUUUAUUGUGCAAAUUAAUACGAAGAGACCUACAUCAAUUAUUUUUUAAGUUAAAAAAUAAUCAAUUGCACAAAGCGUGCAACAAUAAUAUAAAGGGUUUCGAUUAUGUUGGAGUUUACUUACAGUGGUGUGUGAACUUCAGUCAUACAAUAAUAUAUAAGAGUUUGAUUAUGUUGGAGUUCACUUACGGUAGAGCGCGAAUCUCAAUCAUACAAGGAAAGUGAUGAAUAAUAAAAAAUGAGUUAUUUUUUUAUUAUUUAUUAUUUUACGUGUAAUUAAAAUUCGUAUUUUACCGUAGGUGAAUUCCAACAUAUCAAUAACCUAAUAUAAAAUGUCAUCUCAAACUGUAUUAAUGGAAUAAUUAGUGCUUGUUAAAGAGUUUAUAUUUCUAGAAUUUUUGAUUUAGUAUAUAAUUAUGUAGGGCAAAGCAAACGGGAAUCAACAAUUACGUGGUAGGGUCCACAAACCAACUAUAAUAUUCGUACAAGCUAAGCAAAUGUUGGGGAACUCCAGGUGGGGGGUUGGGUGGGGGCGAAUGAAAAGGGAGAACAACCUCAGCUCACCGGUCAAAUAAUACGUUGCAAAUCACGCUUAGCCAUUGAUUACAAAAGGAUGGUUGGGCCGAAUGAGUCAAUUUCGCAAAGACUGCCUUGUCCAACAUAAACUUUUCGAAAAUCAUCAUUCUGGCGACUUCUUCCAAGGCAUCGCCAAGUGUAAUGAUAUACCCCUAUAAACCAACAAAUUGAAUCAUUGCACAUUUGAUCCCCCUGUUGUUUUCUGUUUCACGAAGGUGCCACAGACCCGAUGACUUGGACUUGGAAUAAUUAAAAAAAGGCCAAAAAAAAAAAAAAUGUUCCUGUUGGUCAUGUUAAAGGCACAGAUUCCCCUUCUCCUCCAAUUCUCUCAUUCAUUGUCCUUUCGCACAAUUGCACAUGGGAAUGGGAGUGCAGAAGCCAAGGAGUAAGCGUGUCAGCUGUGCCUUGCCACUUGGGACUUUUUUGUUUAGGGAAGAUACGAAUUACUGUUUACAAGUGCAUUACUUUUACUUAUCAUCGAUUCUUGUGGGAAAUGUAUUUCCUCUUCUGUCGUCCGGCGAACGCGAUUCGAGUGAAAUAAAAUUAAAUUGAUUUACAUAAAAAAAUUAAAAGAAAAGCGGAUAGUGAAUGAUAUAUAACAUAACAACAAAAGGAAUAGCUUAAUAUAUACUGAUAAUAAUCAUAAGUCUCCAAAAUAACAAACAUAAAUCAAAUCAUAUCAUCACAUCUCCGUGAGCUACAAAGCAUAACUGAUAACUCUCUCUCAUUAUAAAAUUUAUAUGUAAUAAGACUCACUCCCUAAAAGACUAAAAACCCAGUGGAUCCGCCGCUACUAAGCCCACAUAACGUCUAAACAACGCAAAAAAAGAAAAAAAAAUGAAGAAACCACUCUACACACCCAAUAAGCUAGUGACACGUAAUCAGAUAGAGAACCGGCCUCUUAAACCCUGAGAACUGAGCCGAACACCAGAGCGGAAAGGAGAGCGACACCAGCGGCGGCUAAGGAAGGCGAGAUCGAGCCGGCUCCGGAAGCGGGAGCUGGAGCGGGAGAGAGAUCUUGAGCCGACCCUGCGAGAACCAAGGCGGCCAGGACAACGGCCAUCAUCAGCGUAGCCAUUGAAGCCUUUGAGAAUGCCAUUAUUGAAGCCUUUUUUUCUCAGGGUUUUUGAGAGCGUAACCGAAGGAAGCUGAGAGAGAUUCUUUUUCCUGUGUCUGUAUGUGGGAAGUGUUAGUAUUUAAGACAUGAGAAGAAAAUAGUGAGGUUUAUUUAUAGACUGAAAAGUGUGGACGGGAAGAGAGAAUUUCGGGCAGCGGCCCGGAUUUUUCCAGUCUGUCUAUUGGUUUCUUGACAGCUAUGUUUAUUUGUGGGGCCCAGUUAAUUAUAAUUUCACGCGACCGUUUAGGGUAUCGAACGGCGAAGCGACGUCGUGUCGGUUCACGAGUGUGACUUACGCCGAGGAAAUAAUUGAUUCUUUGGGAUUGGGAAAAAUUUGAGCAAAGUAAAAUUACGGAAACAGCAGCGAAUUAUAAUAUCGCAGUCUGUGAUAAACUUGAUAACUAUCUACUUGAAUUGAUAGGACAUAUAAAAAGAACAUUGUAUUAUUUAAAGGAUUGAAUAAUUUAAUUGAUAAAAAUCUCUUACCGCUAAGUUUGGAGAUCCAUUUGCACUCAAAUUUGGUGGAGGAAAAUUUUGAUUUCAGUUGUGUUAUGUUAUUAACAAAAAUUAUUGUUCAAAAAAUGCCUUUUUGUAGCUGCAAUAAAUGAGAAAAUUUUAAAGUACUUUUUUUUUAUUAUUUAUAUAAAUUGAACGAAAUCUUGGUGUGAUUAUUUUGUAAAUUCUCGAGAACUUUUGGGGUGGGGUGGGGGAUUUUGUGUAUGAAUGUAUGAUGAGUUCAUUGAAGAGGCGAAUGUUUAAUGGUGGGAUUGAUGAUUAGGGAUCAGUGAUGGUGCAGUUGAUUCCGCUACAAAGAUUUUUGUAAGCGCCCACAGACAGCCCACGUGGGAUGCGGUGGCUCGACCAUUAGGAGGAGGACGCGUGGAGACGUGGAAGGGCACGGGCUUUUUUAAUAUUCGAAUUUUGAAUUUGAAUAAUCGGAUGUGGACCUGUGGACAGUAUGAAAUGAUCGUGAAUUUUGUGGGUUUCCAGAACUUUCCGUUUGGCGUGUGCGACUGUGUGUUCAUUGGCAGGCACAUGUAGGAGUGUUACGAAGUUUACGCGUUAAACGUAUGCGGAAAGAAAAUGGUUUAACUUUGGGUAAAUGUUUAAAAAAGGAAAUUUCAAUCAACGCUUCUUCUUCUUCUUCUUUUUUUUUUUUUUAUUCCAUAAAAGAAGAUCUUUAAUUUCUGUAAUUAUAUCAUAAUUGAGUCCAAGAAGAUCUGGCUGCAUUGUUGUAAUUUUAUUUAGUUAACCAUAUAAAUUUGAGUCCCGAAGUUAAAAACUUAAUUUUAAUUUUAACUGCUCUUCCAUCUUCUUUUUGUUUUUGUUUUUGUUUUUAAAUGAUCAUGAAACACCUCUUCUCAUUAAUUAAUGUAGAAAAAAAAAGGUUUCAACCACUCCUACGUAUAUUAGCAUGAUUUCUUUUUUAAAUAUUAUUUGAUUGGUAUCAUUGCAAAGUUAAUUUAGAUUCAGUAGUUUAUUUUGGCUAAAACAUCAUAUAUUUAAGAUGCAUCAUCAGAAAAUUGAUUUAGAGUCACCUAAUUUUGAGCUCAAAUAUUAUAUAUUUGCACUCACAAUCAUAUAAUUGGUUUAGAUUUAAUCUGUUUUAAGCUCAAAUAUGUAGCUAUCACAUAAAUAAUUUAGAAUGUUACAAUAUUCUAAGGGCGUGGUCGGGUUAAUUAUAGUGCAGUUGUAGCCUCUACCAAAAUCCGGGUUCGAUUCUUAGAGAUCAAGAUUAUGUUUAGGCUCGCCCACCUCCUCUUACUUUAAAAAAAAAAAAUUUAGAAGGUUACUAAUAUUUUUUUAAUUAUAAAUAUCAAUAUAUAUUGUAAUGUAAUAUUCUUUUUUUUUUUAAAAAAAAAAGGUCAGGUAGAAUUGAUCUCCCUCAUACCAAAUUUUGUAAAAAAUAAUUUAGGUUAUGCCGAUUCAUAAGAUGAGGGGUUCAUAUAGUUUAGUUCAGUUGAUAAUUUUUUUUUUUUGGUUGAAAAAAGAGAUAUGAGAUUUAAAAUCAGUUUAGGUGAGCAAGGACGGUUUUGGGUUGUCACCGAGCUAAAUUAAAAAGGAUUAAUGAGAUGAGACGAGUGGUUUGUUAAAAAGAAUAGUGCCACAUAUUAUAAAGUUUGUGUCAAAAAAAUUCAUCCUAUAAAAGAAGAGACACUCCUAAUAGGCAUGAAAAAAAAUACAAUAAAUCGUUUUAAAACAUAACUGUGACUAGAACAUCCCCUUGUGAAGAUAUAUUUUUUAUUUUUUUAAAAAAAAUUAUUUAAAUAUCUCUAAUGUUCAUGCAACAAAUACGAUGAAUAGUCACAAGGGCAGUCUAGAAAAAGGCAUUUACAAAUACACGGCGGGCCAACAAAGAAUCAUUCACCUUCUAAUCCUUCGAUGUCUGCUUGCAACUCAACUAAACUAACAGCAUUCCAAAAUCAGCAAGAAAACGAUUUAAGAACUUAUUUUGGAAUGCUAUUAGUUUUUAAGGAUUAAUGAGAUGAGAUGAGUGGUUUAUUAAAAAGAGUAGUACCACCUACUGUAAAGUUUAUGUCAAAAAAAUCCAUCCAAUAAAAGAAGAGACACUCGUAAUAUGCAUUAAAAAAAAACACACAAUAAAUCAUUUUAAAACAUAACGUGAAUCAAACAUCACCUUAUGAAGAUAUAUAUAUUUAAAUAUCUCAAAUGUUCAUGCAACAAAUGCGAUGAAUAGUCACGAGGGCGGUCGAGAAAAUGCGUUGACAAUUACACGACCGGCCAACAAAAAAAUCAUUCACCUUCUAAUCCUUCAGUGUCUGCUUGCAACUCAACUAAACUGAUAGCAAUUAGCAUACCAAAAUAAGCCAAAAAAAAAAAAAAAAAAGAUUUAAGAAUCUUAUUAUUUUACUCGUUAAUAUUGCUAAGCAUAUGGCAGCCCUGGGCGGCUGUGGAGUGCAGCCUGGCGUUGGAUUUGCUCACAGACAGGACCUGUAAGGCUGAAACAACACGGCAGCAACAAAGAAAGUAGUUUUAUUUACGUAAUACAAUUUUUUAUACCUUUAUUUUUUAUCUGCAUGAUUUAGUUCUUACACAGACGUGCUAACGAGAAUCAUCCAGUAGCUGGUGUCACUUGUCAACUACUCCUUAACUUAAAGAGCAUAUUUGGGAUUGUCAAGUAUUCCCAAAUUAGUGAUUAUUUGAGAAUUUGUUAUCACAUAUGGUUGGUUCGAGUUAUUCUCUCAGACAUAUCACACCAAUAAUCAUCAAAUAAGUGAGAAUCAAACAAAAUUUGAAAGCAAAUUCUCAAGUAAUUGGUUAGAUUGUAUGAAAAUUUGACUUGUGAAUAUCAAGUAACCUCAGAAUUAGAAUGACUGUAAUGUAUACAUUGGCAUUUACUAUUUACUAAUCACCAAUCAUAGCUUUCUAUUUGGCUCAAUGGCUGAGUGCAAAUCCAGAUGAGCAUGAAAUUCAAAUCAACUCAAAAACCGUUAGAGAAAACAAAAUAUCUUUGAAGUAGUUAUCACUUCAUUAUUAUCAGUAGGAUGAAAAUGAUCGAAGUUAAAAACGUCCAAAAUUAUUAAAUUCAUUUAUCUAACCUGAAUAAUGGACACAUAUACCACGUUGGCUGUCAUUCCUCUGUACAUACAAGAAUCUCACUGUAUCAUCAAAGAGGCUAAUCCUAUGUAACAGUCCUCUCAAUUCGUAUUAUGCAACACGUCUAUCCGAAAAGCUCCUAAUCAUCUUUCUUCCUCGGCUAUUACCAUUCAUUCAAAAGUCAACUCAAAAGGUAGACAAAUUUAUUUGUUAAAAGCCCAAAACUUUAGAUGAUAUAUUCAUCAGAGGUUGUAAAGCACUCGGUGCAAAUUUUCUUCCAAAGAGAAAGCAAACUGUAGAGGGCUGGUUAUUGUAUUUGCAAUGCUGACCUCCAUAAACUUUCUUGAAAAACUCCUCUGUUAUGUCGGCUCUUCCGAAUGUGGCUGGAUGAGCACCACCUCUCGACCAAUCAACCCAAGUGCUGCUUCUAUUUGCCAAGAGAUUUGGCAUUUGAAUAGAUAGCAUGGUGGGAAAAUAGUGUUCGUCCACAUAACAAGGUGGUCUACAGAAUUCCGCGAAUUUUGGAUAAUAUGUAGUAUCUUCCACAAUGUUGACUGCAAGCCUUCGGUUGAUUUCAAACCAUUGGGAUCCUUUGCGCCACUGGGUAAUGUUCACCACAGGUGCCAUGUUCGCAUUGUAGCGUCCUCUCCCAUAUGGUCCAGGGUCAUCAAAUGAACCCAUGAAACUAUGUUUGGAUUUCUUUAUGUAAUGGUAGAUGAGGGAGAAAUUAUAAAGAGGAAUGCAAGACUCAGAGACAAGAAUGAACCAUUCAUUGGAGAUAUCAAGCAAUGCAUUAGCAAGGAGUCUUCUCUCAGCAUCGCACAUGCUCAUUUUUCCCCAUUCAGAGAUCUGCAAAGGGAAGAUACAGAAGACAUUACAAUCUCCUCUAAAUUUUGGGAAAUAUUGUAUUCAAAGCUAUGUGCUAAAGUAAAUAGAAUAAGCAGAUAAAGCAUAACCAUCAAAGGCUUUCAGAAGAAUGCAAGACAGUUCCACUACCAAACACUUCACCUAGAACAUGUAAUGAUAACAUUUGGUAAAGGUAAUCAUAAAACCUGUUAUUUUCCAGGAUCAAAGGGUAUCAAGUAUCAAUUUUACAUUUGGGACAGGAUUAUGGUAGCUGCUUGUUGUUGAAAUGGCACUGUAGCAGAGCUAACCAAAUCAGAUCUCCAUUUCUUGGAGGAUUUGUAUCCUGUUCCAGUUACUACAAGGGGGCAACUCAAGAACAUACAUGUCUUCCUACUUGUCCAAUACAAAAACGUAGGGAGAAAAAAAAAAUCAAAUAAAACGCACUUCGUCGAGCCAAUAUACAUACAGACAGCUCAACCCUCCCCCUUGGUGUUUUGGGAUCCAAAAUUUUUCACCUCCACACGAUAUAUGGCAGUGGUUACCAGCCUUAGAUAAACUUACACUGUUGCAGUUCCCAACUUUCAAAAUUCAACCCAAAAAAUGACCGACUCUUAUUGUUGAUCAUUCACUCAAACCCAGUUUUGCUGGUGAAAGUUAUAAUGUAUGCCAUCAAAUUAAUUAGAAAAUGUUUGCCAAGUAACAUUCAAGAAUGCCACCAUGUCAUCUAUGGAUUGUCCGCUCCUGCUAGAUUCCUCGCAAUUUCUCAUGGACUCCAAUAAUCCGUAAGGCAAUCAGGGGAAAAAAAAAGGAGCAAAAUUUUAACUUGGCUAAGCAAAAACAGAAUAUAUUUAGUUUAUAAACAGAAUCUGUUAAUCAGCAUAUUCCUAUUCAACAGAGUAUUUCUAGACUUUGAUCGUGAAUCACCAUGCAUAUAAAAGUGAUGAUGCUAAAUGGGAACACUACUUUCUACUUUCAAACACCAAGAGCCUACAGAUGACUGAGAGGUCCUAAGAACUGAAGAUUGUUAAACAAAAUUCGGAAAGCUAUGCAAGCAUGCUAACACUAUAUAGAUCCUCAAAAGAAUAAUUCACAUUAUAGGUAAAAAAUAAAGUACUGCUCAUCAUCACUCAAGAGAAGAAGAUCAUAACUUACAUCGUCAUAUAAUCAAUAGUACAACAAAGAUGAUCAGAUGAAGUUUCCACCAGAAUUUUAAAUGAAUAAAUAAAACCUGCAAUAGAUAGAUAUAAUGUCAGGCAUACCUGACUUGGGAUUUGUCUGUUGUAAAAAACUGAUGAAGAUGGAAACUUGUUCUCGAAUGUUGGCAGAGAAUGAACAUAGAUAGAAUAUAGCCCUUCAUGCCCCUUGAAAAACUUCUCCCAAAGAGGUCCAAGAGGUAAUGGCCCCUUCGUCAAGAACAUAAAUGCAAUCUUUGGAACUCUCUUAAAGGGAUACUCCUUCACUCGAGGCACAAAUGAGGCCCUCCAAAAAAGCUCCUUAUCACUCAUUGUGUGCAUUAAAUUUGAUGGAGGAUUUAUCCAAUAAUCCAAACCAUUCGGUAGUUCAGGGCAUGCCACAAAACUGGACUUAACCGUUGUCACAACACUCUGGACUCCAAACCGACGAACUGAGUAUAUACUAAUCAACGAAAAGGCUAUACACAGAGCCAGAAACAAACCAAAUAACUGAAAUAAUCUCAGUGGCAAGGCCCUAAAUUGAUUUGUCUUGUUAACAACUGCAGGGUCUUUGCCUUCCUCUAGCGGAACAACCCUUGCUUGCAUCUUUAUAACUCUAAAUCAAAUCAAAAUUUCACCUUCUGCGUCAGAUCCAAAUCAACAUCCUAGCAUCAAAAGCACUACUAAGCCUCAAAAUACCAGCUAAUUUAUUCACCAGAGCUAGCAAAAAAAACAGCUUUUUUUAAAUAUUUGAAAUUUGUGGAAUUCAAUAUGUUUCAGCAAAACAACCCCACUUAGCAACAGUAACGAAAUUAGAUCUAGAGCUGACACUACAGUACUCAAAAAGCAAGUAUUAACAGAUAUAGCACAAUCAUCAGCUUUCACAGCACAUGGGUUUCUUGAAUAAGAAGCUCUUAGCAAAAAUCAAAAGUCCAGAUCGGACUACUUGAUAGUCUAUAGAUCAAACGAAACCAUUAACGUGAUUGGUGGGGUGAUGAAAAACAGUACACGAUGGUGAACGUUCAACAUACCAUGUAAAUUUGUUGGGGCUAUAUGAGGAAACAAAGUUUGAAGCUUUAGCUCGAAUUGCGCCACCAAAGAAGAGAAACAGAACGGUCAAAUAAAUGAACAAAGUUAGGCAAAGAAAAUAAGAGGAGAAAAAGAGAAAAGUCCUUGGGACGCCCAAAGAGAGAGAGAAAAGGAGGUCCAAGAAAGUGGGGAAUCAAGGAAAUUUUGAGUGUGUGUGUAUGUAUGUAUAUAUAUAUAUAUAUAUAUAUAUAUAUAUAUAUAUAUAUAUAUAUAUAUAUAUAUAUAUGGGACUUUGAAUUUGAGGAAAUCACAGAAUUGUAAUUAGGUGAAUUGUGAAAUGUGGAGAAUUCAAAGAAUGUUUUUUGAUUUAACACGUACAGUGGAAGUGUCUGCUUCGUCUUUUGUGGGUUAGCCGUCACCAUGUGAGAGGCGGUUUUUGCAAGGUAAUAAUACGGCAAUGUCUUGCUGUCAUUUUGUAACGUUUUGGAAAACAAAUUUACCCUGAUUCAUUUGCCUUGAUAGAUCCUUUUUUUUUUUUAACCUUUUUUUUUAUAACUUGAAAUAGAAUGAAAUUAGUCAAAAUUUAAAUUUGAAUGAUAUGUAAAUUUUUUUAAAAUUUUUAAAAAUAAAUAUUAAAUUAUUUGUUUUUUAAUUUUAAAAAACUGACAGCCUAUACUUUUACAUUUUUACCCUUACUAAAUUUAAAUGUUGAAUAAAUAAUAUAUUUUUAAAAGAACUUAAAUAUGAUAAUAACAUUAUCUUUUUUUUUAAAAAAGGAUAAUAACAUUAUCUAAAUCAUCUUCAAGUAAAUGAUUUAUGAAAUCAUUCACUUGGCAUAGGGUUGUUCUAACUUAACCAAUGUUUUUUAUUCGAAUCUUGAAAAUGCAGUUGCGUUAAAUACUUAUUGGAAGAGCUUUGACGCCCUAGUGGUCUUACCCAGCUCGAAUUUGAAUUAGUCGAGACCUAAUGUAGUUUCGGAUACCAAAUAGUUUAAUACACGAAAAAAAAAAUUUAUAAAAUUAUAAUAUAAAAAGUUCUUUAAAAUUAUCACAAGUUCACAAUGCUAGUGCGUAAUAUAAGAAAAAACUAACAAGAUACUUGGGAAGUAAAAAAAAAGAAAGAAAAAACUGAACAAAAAUUCUACAAGAAAAGACUGUCAAUGGAAUCAAUUAUGGACUAUCAAAGGCCAUAAAGGAGAUUCAAGAAAUCCUUCGCGUGAAUGUUGUGUCUCAUCAUGAAAAGUAUCUUGCCUUGCCAUCUAUGGUAGGGAAAAACAAAAGACAAUUCUUCAAGUCGAUCAAGCUUCGAGUGCUCAACAAAUUAAAAGGAUGGAAGGCCAGGCUCUUCUCAAGCGGUGGGAAGGAAGUAUUGUUAAAGGCUGUCAUUCAAGCCACUCCUGUUUAUGCUAUGGGCGUUUUCAAGUUGCCAAAAUGCUUAUGCGAGGACCUACAGCGUUGCAUCACAAAUUGUUGGUCGGCCAACUAUGAUGACUCUAAAUGCAUUCACUGGCUUUCUUGGAAGAAUCUUUGCAAGCCAAGGAAGGACGGGGGGCAUGAGAUUUAGAUAUUUAGGUCCUGUUUGUGAUUGAAG